CUGAGGCGUGAUGACGAGGCACUACGGUGCUGAAGCAACAAAUGCCCUGCUUCCAGGAAAAGCCUCUAAGCAUCAGGUAACAUCAAAUCGUACCCCAAACCGACACAGGUGGUCAGGUAGAGAAUACCAAGGCGCUUGAGAGAACUCGGGUGAAGGAACUAGGCAAAAUGGUGCCGUAACUUCGGGAGAAGGCACGCUGACACGUAGGUGAAGUGAUUUACUCACGGAGCUGAAGUCAGUCGAAGAUACCAGCUGGCUGCAACUGUUUAUUAAAAACACAGCACUGUGCAAACACGAAAGUGGACGUAUACGGUGUGACGCCUGCCCGGUGCCGGAAGGUUAAUUGAUGGGGUCAGCGCAAGCGAAGCUCCUGAUCGAAGCCCCGGUAAACGGCGGCCGUAACUAUAACGGUCCUAAGGUAGCGAAAUUCCUUGUCGGGUAAGUUCCGACCUGCACGAAUGGCGUAAUGAUGGCCAGGCUGUCUCCACCCGAGACUCAGUGAAAUUGAACUCGCUGUGAAGAUGCAGUGUACCCGCGGCAAGACGGAAAGACCCCGUGAACCUUUACUAUAGCUUGACACUGAACAUUGAGCCUUGAUGUGUAGGAUAGGUGGGAGGCUUUGAAGUGUGGACGCCAGUCUGCAUGGAGCCGACCUUGAAAUACCACCCUUUAAUGUUUGAUGUUCUAACGUGGACCCGUAAUCCGGGUUGCGGACAGUGUCUGGUGGGUAGUUUGACUGGGGCGGUCUCCUCCUAAAGAGUAACGGAGGAGCACGAAGGUUGGCUAAUCCUGGUCGGACAUCAGGAGGUUAGUGCAAUGGCAUAAGCCAGCUUGACUGCGAGCGUGACGGCGCGAGCAGGUGCGAAAGCAGGUCAUAGUGAUCCGGUGGUUCUGAAUGGAAGGGCCAUCGCUCAACGGAUAAAAGGUACUCCGGGGAUAACAGGCUGAUACCGCCCAAGAGUUCAUAUCGACGGCGGUGUUUGGCACCUCGAUGUCGGCUCAUCACAUCCUGGGGCUGAAGUAGGUCCCAAGGGUAUGGCUGUUCGCCAUUUAAAGUGGUACGCGAGCUGGGUUUAGAACGUCGUGAGACAGUUCGGUCCCUAUCUGCCGUGGGCGCUGGAGAACUGAGGGGGGCUGCUCCUAGUACGAGAGGACCGGAGUGGACGCAUCACUGGUGUUCGGGUUGUCAUGCCAAUGGCACUGCCCGGUAGCUAAAUGCGGAAGAGAUAAGUGCUGAAAGCAUCUAAGCACGAAACUUGCCCCGAGAUGAGUUCUCCCUGAGACUUAGAGUCUCCUGAAGGAACGUUGAAGACGACGACGUUGAUAGGCCGGGUGUGUAAGCGCAGCGAUGCGUUGAGCUAACCGGUACUAAUGAACCGUGAGGCUUAACCUUAC
rnacentral:rRNA from 3 species